UUGAAUUAUAACGUAAGCUUUUAAAACGAGAGUAAUAGCUAUCACUUUCUCCACAAGUAGCAAUCAACGUGGUCUGACACAAAGAACGUAUCCAACGUCUUUUUAUGCAAUCAACCAGUGUAAACAAGACUCGAUCAGUUCUCUUCUCACACACAGUUUUCGUAGAACAAUGUUUAUGUAAAUUUUGAACUACAAUUUCCUCCUGCCAGCAACAGAGAAAAACCAGUUUUACCCAUUCACUAGACUUUGCCCAGUGCUCCACGAUUUUUAAAGCAUAUAUAAAACAACCGUGGAAAGGGAGAACAACUCGUCGUCGACAAGUGCACCCAGAGACCCGACACAAAAAGGGCAACUUCUAGGGUCAUGAUAUUUCUACCGGAUUAAUACGAUUCGAUGGACACAGUCAUUCAGAUGUGUAUUGUAUCUAAUUAGGUUGAUUCGUAUAAUAGUCCGAUGCCUUGAAUGAUGUUCCCAAAUAUGUAUGAAAUUGAAUCACCACAUAAGACUAUUAUGCAAAUACCAGUCGCAUUUGAAGCAUGAAAAUCAGAACGGUUUGAAAUUGAUUGACCUGGCUCCCUGUUGUGGCCUCUCCAAACCGUUGUCGAUUAAAUCGAACAACAAAAGAUGCCAGAAACCGACAAUCAAGUCAACAAUCCCCGAGAAUUGGUUGCCUGCUCUAUCUGUGUGUAUGUCUGAAGGUUGGCCUGAUGUAACCAAAUAGGUAAUUGCCCGACGAAAGAUGUGGAGAACGAGAGAAAUGGGCCGGUGCAUAAUAAUAAGCGGACUGUUUGGGCUUUGAUUCUCAGAGGUCCGACCCGACCGUGCCGUAGACCAUACAAACUCAGUGAACCCUAAGCGAACAGAACGAAAAAUACCACCUAUACAUGCAAUCUGUAUAACUCCGCAUACAAUAUAUGGGAAUGACAUACCAUA